rnacentral:rRNA from 1 species
AUAUUUUAAUGUGGAAGAAUUAUUUAUAAUUGGUUUUUUGUAAUUAUAUGUUAGUCGUUCUUUAUUAUAUCUGGUUUCUUGAGAAAUUAAUUUAAUUAACCAGAGCGGAAAUAUUUUUAUUUGGAAAAGAAAUUUUUGUGUUUGGAAUAUUCAGAGGGAUAAGCUUUUGAUUAGAUUUUUAUAACAGUGGAGGGUUUUGAAGUAGAGUAGGAUUAGAAGUUUCCAUUUUUAGUGUGUUUUAACUAGGCUUUAAAAAUAGGUGAUUUUUUUUUGUUUAUAUAUUUUAUUAAGAUGAAGGCCUGAAUUGGAAGGUUUUGUAAUAAUGAUAAGAUUAGUAGAAUGGAAUGUAAUAUGAUAAUACAGAGUUUAAUAUUAUUUUAAGGAAUUAGGCAAAUUUCUUUUCGCCUGUUUAAUAAAAACAUGGCUUUUCGAUAAUGAUUUAAGGUCAGGCCUGCCCAAUGAUAAUUUAAAUGGCUGCGGUAUAUUGACCGUGCAAAGGUAGCAUAAUCAUUAGUUUUUUUAUUGGAAGCUGGAAUGAAGGGUUUAACGAGAAAGAAGCUGUCUUGAUUUAAUUAUUUGAAUUUUAUAUUUAAGUGAGAAAGCUUAAAUGUAUUUGAGGGACGAGAAGACCCUAUAGAAUUUAAUAGUUCAGGUGUUUUGGUGGUUUAGUUUGGGGUAGCUUGGGUAUUCUGUAAUUAUUUUGUUGGGGUGAUAGGAAAAUUUGAUUAACUUUUCUUUUUAUUUAUCAUUAAUAGAUGAGUAGAUGAUCCAUUAGUAAUGAUUAUAAGAAUAAAUUACCUUAGGGAUAACAGCGURAUUGGUCUGGAGAGUUCAAAUCGAUA